rnacentral:tRNA from 1 species
GGAGAGAUGACCGAGAGGCCGAAGGUGCUCGCCUGCUAAGUGAGUGUGGUUUAGUUGCCACCGAGGGUUCGAAUCCCUCUCUCUCCG